rnacentral:lncRNA from 1 species
GCAGCUAGGUUUUAGGGGUAUUUAAGCUCUUUCUCACAGUAAUUUUGGAAAACUUCUUUUUGGAUUUUGAACGUGACAUUGUGGAGGGCAAUUGCUAGGGUUUUGGAGUUUUUGCGACUUUGAGGUGUUUUCAUUCUUAUUCAUUCGAAUGAUUUUUUCUUGUAUUUCAAUUAUGAAUAUGCGUAACUAAUUUCCUUUUGCUGGGGUGAAGCCUUGAACCGUAGCAUGAAUAUGUGAUUUUUAUUUAAUUGCUUAUGAUUGAGUGCAUGCAUACUUUGAAUUGUUAAUCACUGUUUUAAACUAUCUAAUUGUCUUAAUGCUUGAUCACCAUUAGGAUCUUUAGAAAAGUAAUUAGAUGCAAUUUUGGUCGGAAGGUUCCCUGAAAUUGACGCUGGCUUCUUGUGAUUAAUAAUUGUAAUUUCACUUAAGAUGAACACCACGUCUUAAGGUGUGCAUGGUUUUUCAAAGGGUUUUCACAAAACUUUAUGAGUCUUUCAUGUUCAGAUUUGAUCCGAACGUCCAGACGGAUUGCAUGUUGGAUAUACGUUCUGUAUUGGAGGUUCCAAGUAGAAUAUAAAUUAGAAAAACCUAACCUUCAAAGUGGCAUGUGCAAAAUAUAAGUAAUUGGUAAAAAUUCAUAGGAUUGCUAGGUGAUGGUGAAACCUUAGUGUUUUUAUAAAUUGGUUUUUAAAACUCUUUCAUUCAAUCGUAUUUGUUUUUUUUUUUAAAUUUAUUUUUGUUAUCAAACAAUUUUAGAAUCAUCCGUCUCAGCUUUUAAUUUUAAGUAGUUAAUUGGAAAUUUUUUUACAUAAAUUGCUAAUUAUUCCUUGAGGAGACCGACCUUGCAUGAGCAUCUAUACUACAAUAGCCUUAUAUUCUUGCAAGUAUUUUAUGUGAUUUUAA